rnacentral:rRNA from 1 species
GAUGAACGCUGGCGGCGUGCUUAACACAUGCAAGUCGAACGGGAAGGCCCAAGCUUGCUUGGGUACUCGAGUGGCGAACGGGUGAGUAACACGUGGGUGAUCUGCCCUGCACUUCGGGAUAAGCCUGGGAAACUGGGUCUAAUACCGGAUAGGACCACAUUUUGGAUGGUGUGGUGGAAAGUUUUUCGGUGUGGGAUGAGCUCGCGGCCUAUCAGCUUGUUGGUGGGGUAAUGGCCUACCAAGGCGUCGACGGGUAGCCGGCCUGAGAGGGUGUACGGCCACAUUGGGACUGAGAUACGGCCCAGACUCCUACGGGAGGCAGCAGUGGGGAAUAUUGCACAAUGGGCGCAAGCCUGAUGCAGCGACGCCGCGUGGGGGAUGACGGCCUUCGGGUUGUAAACUCCUUUCGCUAGGGACGAAGCGUUAUGUGACGGUACCUGGAGAAGAAGCACCGGCUAACUACGU